GCUCAAAGCCAGAUACAAUUCCCUCUUCUGUUUAAUUUCGCUGAGACAGCGUAAUGAAGAUAAAAUUUCGGUGUUCAAUCUAUUUAUGUUGCUCAAUUGCUCCAACGAAUCCAAGAAAUUAAACGGCACUAUGAGGCCCUUUUAUUCCUUAAUAUAAUUGUCUCUUAUUUGUUUCGUUUAUUUUCUGAGCAUAAGCAUUCUCACUGAUACAUAUAGGGAAUUGUAACUGGCUUUGGAAGAAUUUAGGGAUACUAUGCGACAAUGGAUACUGCUUGGUGAAUCUGCCCAAAAGAAAUGCCCAACUUUGAUGGGAUGGAAAAGGAAUAAGGGGAGUGGAAUUUCUAGCUUUCUGGAAUGAGGCUUUGACUUCUCAGUUGUCAAUUAAGUUCCAUGUUUUUUGUUGGUAAAAAGGCAUAUACCAUUCAAGAUUAACUGUAUGCCAUGGGAGGGAAAUGAUGAUUGUCCUACUAUUACUGCUUUUUCUGCUUUUGGGCUAUACUCCACACUGCCAAUAUGCUAAAAGCUCUAGAGCUUUGACCUACAGUCGAGGUGAAAGCAAAGCAGUUACAAAAACGAGAUACAGGGACCGAGUGGAAGAGUUAAAAUCUAUAGGCCUGUCCGACAACAUCUAUGUAGUUGAAGUGCAGUUGAAGUUUAUCAAUGGAAGUCGGAUUUGCCGGAGACAUUAGCAUGGAGGAUAGCGCAAUAUGCACUGGACAAUUCCAAGAGCACAGAGCAUUACACCCUUUCUAGGGUGUUCACAAUGGUGGAAAGUAUGAUCAUAUUACUGUCAAUUUUAGCCAAUAUUUGGCCUUUAUAGUGCUGUGCUUUUUUAUGUCAGAUAACUUACUGCGAGAAAUUAGAAUUUAACAAUUCUUAGUAGUUGUAAACAAUGAUCUUCAUAGGUUAGAUAUUAGUUGAGAAACAAGCAAGAAAUAUGUAUGUAAUUUGAUUCUUUA